UGUUUGAGCUCUAGGAGAUGCUGUAGGUGUUGCAUCAUAAAUAAGAGCAUCACUGAAUUCAAAAGCCUCAUGCCCCUCUUCUCUGGCUUCUGUUCUGUUAAUUGUCUCUAAACCUGUACUGCAUGGAGAAGUUGUGGCGUUGUAAAGAGUUCAGACUGAGCACCCCUCAGAGGUCUUUGAGAUUCAAACCAGCAUUGGAAGUGACAGCCCAGAUAACACAGAUGGCUGUGUGCACCAAUAAAGAGGCCAGUUGGAGACCGACUGAAAAUGCACCUU